rnacentral:lncRNA from 10 species
UCUGUCUUUCAUUUUUCUCAAUGGAAGCACAUUCCCCACUUCUCAAUUUGCCUUGGGAGCUCUUAUUUCAAUCUCUUCUCAAUCCUUCGAAGCAGGACUCCUCCCUAGCCAUAUUCUACACAGAAGGAAACAGAAACUCAGCGUGAGGACGGCUCCUGCCCUGCGACCUCAGGUCCCCCAGCUGCCUUGCUAAGAGUUGAACCGUGCCCCCAGCCCCUACCCUGAUACAUUUCAGCAAAUUGAUAUGCAAGGCCCCUUUCCAGGCCCUGGGAACAUGAAGAGGAAGUUGCUGAUGGCUGUGCUCAAAGACUUCCCAGGUGCUGGUGAAACAGACAUGAAAAGGCACAACCCCUGCCUCGGGAUCUGGUGGCAAGAUCAACAGGUAAACUGCAGGUCUGAUACGGAUUGACAGGUGCCACUCAGAGUGAGUACGGGUGGCAGAAACUCAGAGGGGUCC